AAGCUUCGCCUCCGCCUCUCUGGAAGCCAUUCAUUAUCCAGAACCUUUCUUCCUCGUCUGCAAAUCCAUUUCCUGUUUUGCUUAUUUAGCUAAGAAAUCCCAUCCCUCUCCCUUUUACCGAUCAGAAAAAAGAAAACAAACAAACUUUUCUCCAUCUUAUUCUCUAUGUCGAUUUCGUGCACCGACUCCUCGACUGAUUUAGACGAUGAAGACAGGGAGCGUAACGACUUUUGUCUCACAAAAUUUGGGAUUUGGUGGCAUCGGUAAUUAAAGGUUUUAAUCAGGAGAAGCCGAAUGGCUCUGAAGUGUCAUCAUUGGUAUAGCCACAGCCGUCCGCCUUCUAUGGUAGCUGCUCAACCACAAGUUUUCAACAAUACCUGAGGAGUCGCUCAGAGUGGAGUUAGCGGCUAAUCUAGCCUAUCAUUUGAUAGUUCCUAUGGCACAGUGGUGGCCUUGUUUUGGGAUGGGACAAUACAAGUCCACAUCCUCAAAUGUUUCGAGUGAUCGCAGGUGAAUCAUUUACGACGAGUGAUAAUGCUAUGGCUCUUGGUAUAGGAGGACAAUAUAUAAACCUACAGUAUCUGACAGAUUAUUAUCAUGGAGAAUUAGCACAAGUCUUCCAACAUACAAUGUUACUACUCAACCAAGCCUGCCUUUUAGAUCGUUUUUGUGGUGGAGUUGUUAGAGUGGUACUGCAGAGAGAUGAGCACUGCCACCAUCGUGCAUGGCUGAAGAAGCAGUCCUAAUGGUUAAUCGGUAGCUGGAUUGGCUUAGCAAGUAUUUUGGUAAACCAUGAAACUUGUGUUAGCUUGGAAACUAGUAGGUGGUAGCUUUAAACAUUGAAGCUAAACUUUGUUUGGUUGUUAAUAUUUACCACUUGAUUACCCGUAUCCGUGUGAUGUAUGAUUCCUUGCUUGGAUGUUGAAUUUUAACGUUCGUGAUCUGUAAUGAAGAAUUUGUUGAAAAUUAUGUAUUAUAAUAUUAAUUUACAAGAUUUUUAAUUUUAAUAUGUGAAUGAAAGUAUGUGUGAAUGGUUGCAUUGUUCCGGAUGCAAAC
rnacentral:sRNA from 1 species